rnacentral:misc_RNA from 1 species
GAUGAAGAACGUAGCGAAAUGCGAUACGUAAUGUGAAUUGCAGAAUUCAGUGAAUCAUCGAAUCUUUGAACGCAUAUUGCGCUCUCUGGUAUUCCGGAGAGCAUGCUUGUUUGAGUAUCAGUAAACACCUCAACUUCCAUAUCUUUUUUGAAAUGGGAGUUGGACUUGAGUGAUCCCAACGCUUUUCCUCACCGAAAAGUGGCGGGUUACUUGAAAUGCAGGUGCAGCUGGACUUUUCUCAGAGCUAUAAGCAUAUCUAUUUAGUCUGCCUAAAAAACAGAUUAUUACCUUUGCUGCAGCUAACAUAAAGGAGAUUAGUUCUUGUGCUGACUGAUGCAGGAUUCACAAAGACAGGCUUCGGCCGACUUUGUAAACUCGAUCUCAAAUCAAGUAAGACUACCCGCUGAACUUAAGCAUAUCAAUAAGCGGAGGA